rnacentral:rRNA from 1 species
GAUGAACGCUAGCGGGAGGCCUAACACAUGCAAGCCGAGCGGUAUGGGUAGCUUGCUACCCAGAGAGCGGCGUACGGGUGCGUAACACGUGUGCAACCUGCCCCUAUCCGGGGGAUAGCCCUCCGAAAGGAGGAUUAAUACCCCAUAAUAUAUCUGGUGGCAUCACUAGAUAUUGAAAACCCCGGUGGAUAGGGAUGGGCACGCGCAAGAUUAGAUAGUUGGCGGGGUAACGGCCCACCAAGUCGAUGAUCUUUAGGGGUCCUGAGAGGGAGAUCCCCCACACUGGUACUGAGACCCGGACCAGACUCCUACGGGAGGCAGCAGUGAGGAAUAUUGGACAAUGGGUGGAAGCCUGAUCCAGCCAUCCCGCGUGAGGGACGACGGCCCUAUGGAUUGUAAACCUCUUUUGUACGGGGAUAAACCUAUCUACGUGUAGAUAGCUGAAGGUACCGUACGAAUAAGCACCGGCUAACUCCGUG